CAGCAGCCGCGGUAAUACGUGGGGGGCAAGCGUUGUUCGGAAUUACUGGGCGUAAAGGGCUCGCAGGCGGUUUCUUAAGUCUGAUGUGAAAGCCCCCGGCUCAACCGGGGAGGGUCAUUGAAAACUGGGAAACUUGAGUGCAGAAGAGGAGAGUGGAAUUCCACGUGUAGCGGUGAAAUGCGUAGAGAUGUGGAGGAACACCAGUGGCGAAGGCGACUCUCUGGUCUGUAACUGACGCUGAGGAGCGAAAGCGCGGGGAGCGAACAGGAUUAGAUACCCGAGUAGUCCCUGUCUCUUAUAC
rnacentral:rRNA from 1 species